GGUGGUUCUCGGGUGACACACCCCAGAAUCAGGCUCCCUCCUCUCUGGUUCUGGGUACGUCACCCGAGAACCACA
rfam:Myotis lucifugus cont2.41298, whole genome shotgun sequence.